UCCCUGCUGACCUGCAGCAGCAAUGUAAUUAGGACUUAGAUGUACAGCUGAGUUAGACUUGGACCUCCGGCAGUGUCUGACUAACAUAGCAGCUGCUAGGACCCCAGAGCUGAACAUGAAGGAAGCCCCACUGAGGAAGAAGGUUGCUGUGUAGUUUCCAGUCCUGUCUACUAACCAACCUGGAGAAAGAGAAAAAGGAAAUAUGUGUUAUAGCUUAGUGGGAAAAAAACACAAACCUUUAGGGUAAAAUACCAAAUGUGUUAUCUGGCUCUAAGCAGCUAGCUGUGAUUCCAGGAUUUGAAAUGUCGCUUCCUUGUUUUCCUCAGUUUAUGCGCAAACUGUGUACAAAUAUUUUGUAAUGUUGUUAACACUAGUGAAAUGGAAAGGAUAUCAGAUUAACUGCUUUAUUCCACAAAAACAAGUAGUCUAAAGGAUAUGCAAGGCCAACGUAAAAAUCUCAAAAGUUGUAUCCUUGUUUUGUAUGUCAACAUCUCAAAAUGAAUGUGACAGAAAUACCCUCAAGAAUUUUACAGGACACCUUUAAACAGUUAUGGCUUGUAAAUAAAGUUAAUAAAUCCAUGAACACUUACCUCCUAUUGGUGGGCUGAUCAGGUAGGGAAUAGCAUGCAGAAAAUAGACCACACCCAGAGCGGAGGUCAGGUAGGUGGAGCCUACGACAUCAGAGGUCACCACCGGGAUGAGCGCUACAUACGCCCCGUCAAAGUACCCGUACAGUAUGGAAAAUGGGACCAGGAGGGAGAAGGACUGAAGGAGGGGGAUGAACAUACAGCAGAGGCCCUCCAUGCCUAUCGCCACCAUAUAGCUCAGCAUGCGAUACCUCUUCAGACACCUAGAAGGAAGGAAAACCAUCAGUACUGGGCCUUAAUGAAAUACCUGGCAUUUUUUCACACACACAAAAUCACACCUCUCGACCCUACUUACUCCCUGUCUGUGAUCCAUCCAAAGGUGAUGUUGCCCACAAUGCCGCUGACUCCAAAUAUGGACAUGAGGAAGGCAGCCUGCUUGUGCCCCACCCCCACACUGAGGGCAUAAGGAACCAGGUACACUACUGGAGCACUGCAGCCAUAUGCCAGAAAUAGGAGUGACACAGACAGAAUCAGGAAGUCUGGUAACACCAGAAAUCCAAACUCCUCCCUGGACUUGAGACUAAAACAGAGAUUUCUGGAUGAAGUUUUUGUGAUCACCAAAGGCUGUGGAGGAGGGCUAAUGAUUUUAUCUAAUUGAUAGGCAUCUGUUGGUCUGGCUUCGUGGAUAAGACGCAUGAUUGGUGUGAGAGACCUGGAUUCCCAGAGUCUUCGCUGGUUGCCUUGUACCGUCGGUGACGACAAGACUUCAAGAGCGGCCUCAUCAGAGCACCACAGACACACAGGUUGGAAACAAAUCCUCCCAGGAUGAGCAGUGCUCCUCUCCAGGAGUAAUGCUCUAUAAGUAGUUGGACUGCAGGAGCCAGGAUGAAGGUCCCAAUGCCACUACCUGAAGAUGAGGUGAAAUUGAAUUUAAUGGGAUGAAAUGAGGCAAGGAGAGUAGAGGAGAAGCACAGGUAGGGGGACUUCAACAGACUAAAGAAAAGCAUGGAGGAAAACAGUGAAAGACAUAAGGUAGAAAGAAAAGUGAAUGAAGGUGUAGAAGAGUGGAUGGGAAAGUAAGGUAUUAAUGAGGUGAAAACAAAGCAACAAGUAAGCAAAGAUGUCACUACCAGACAGGGCGAUGCCAUAGGCCAGAGCUUUCCUCUCACUGAAGUACCUCCCAACCAUCGCUAUGGCUGGUGUGUAGCUGAGAGCAAAGCCAAGACCUGUGGAGGAUGGAUAAAGGGUUUGGAGUUUGGCAAAACCUGCCAAAUGUUGCCAAAUCUAAACACAUGUUCUUAUACAUGCAUUACAUUUAAGUGCAUUCAACCUCCACAGAACCAUGAAAUGUCAUCAGAAAAAAAGUAUGUAUCUCCCAAACAAACAACUUAAUGCUUGUAUUUAGUUUUUAAUUAAUAAAAAAAUCAGACAUCAAUAAGUGUGGACUGAAAAGGGUCAGACUCUUACAUGUAUGGGGGUGAGGGUGUAUAAUGUUAUAAUUUGAUUACUAUGGGGAAGGUUUAAGGAGUAAUUAAACAUAAAAUACACAUUAAAUAUUCUAAAUAACAUGGUUAUUUAUAUCUAUAGUAUAAGUGUGCAGAUGCAAAUAAUAUCUAAAAUUGACGCUUUUCAGGUUACAAUGAAGUAAGACAAAGUUGCAGGUUAAAUUGAUGUAGAGAUAUUCCGCCACAGUUGAUAAUAUUACUUUAGAUUUUGAGCAAUUAAGGCAAAAAAAGUUUUAAACUUCAAAAUGGUGAAAUGCAGAUUGAAGUUCAGCUCACUGCAUGUCACUCUCUAUGCUAUCUGCGGGUGCUUCUGAGCUAGCCUAGCACAGAGACACCUCCACUGCCAUUGGUUGAUUUUUUAAUUUUUUUAUUU